AGAGUUUGAUCCUGGCUCAGGAUGAACGCUAGCGGCAGGCUUAACACAUGCAAGUCGAGGGGCAGCGCGUUGUAGCAAUACGAUGGCGGCGACCGGCGGAAGGGUGCGUAACACGUGAGCAACUUGCCCGCAACUGGGGGAUAAGCGCUGGAAACGGUGUCUAAUAUCCCAUAACAUAUUUUACCGCAUGGUGAGAUAUUGAAAAUUCCGAUGGUUGCGGAUGGGCUCGCGGGGCAUUAGGUAGACGGCGGGGUAACGGCCCACCGUGCCGACGAUGUCUAGGGGUUCUGAGAGGAAGAUCCCCCACACUGGGACUGAGACACGGCCCAGACUCCUACGGGAGGCAGCAGUGAGGAAUAUUGGACAAUGGGGGCAACCCUGAUCCAGCCAUGCCGCGUGAAGGACUAAGGCCCUACGGGUCGUAAACUUCUUUUGUUGCGGAGCAAUAAGGGCCACGCGUGGUCCGAUGAGAGUACGCAGCGAAUAAGCAUCGGCUAACUCCGUGCCAGCAGCCGCGGUAAUACGGAGGAUGCGAGCGUUAUCCGGAUUUAUUGGGUUUAAAGGGUGCGUAGGCGGUGAGUCAAGUCAGCGGUGAAAUCCCCGUGCUCAACAUGGGAACUGCCGUUGAUACUGUCUUGCUGGAGUACGGUUGCCGUGGGAGGAAUGUGUGGUGUAGCGGUGAAAUGCUUAGAUAUCACACAGAACACCGAUUGCGAAGGCAUCUCACGAAGCCGCAACUGACGCUGAGGCACGAAAGCGUGGGGAUCAAACAGGAUUAGAUACCCUGGUAGUCCACGCUGUAAACGAUGAUGGCUAACCG
rnacentral:rRNA from 1 species